rfam:Fibulorhizoctonia sp. CBS 109695 unplaced genomic scaffold FIBSPscaffold_51, whole genome shotgun sequence.
GGCCGGUUAGUGUAAUGGUUAUCACGUUAGUCUCCGAGGAUGGUUAGCUAGAGGUUCCGGGUUCAAGUCCCGGGCUGGUCG